rnacentral:rRNA from 1 species
GAUGAACGCUAGCGGCAGGCUUAAUACAUGCAAGUCGAGGAGCAGCACAGGUAGCAAUAUUGGGUGGCGACCGGCAAACGGGUGCGGAACACGUACACAACCUUCCUUUUAGUGUGGGAUAGCCCAGAGAAAUUUGGAUUAAUACCACAUAGUAUAUUGGAGUGGCAUCACUUUGAUAUUAAAGAUUUAUCGCUAAAAGAUGGGUGUGCGUAUGGUUAGGUAGUUGGUAGAGGUAACGGCUCACCAAGCCUUCGAUCAUUAACUGGUGUGAGAUCAGGACCAGUCACACGGGCACUGAGACACGGGCCCGACUCCUACGGGAGGCAGCAGUAAGGAAUAUUGGUCAAUGGACGGAAGUCUGAACCAGCCAUGCCGCGUGAAGGAUGACGGCCCUCUGGGUUGUAAACUUCUUUUAUGUGGGACGAAAAAGGGCCAUUUUUGGUCAACUGACGGUACCAUAGGAAUAAGCACCGGCUAACUCCGUGCCAGCAGCCGCCGUAA